AUACGUAGGGAGCGAGCGUUGUCCGGAAUUACUGGGUGUAAAGGGUGCGUAGGCGGGAUGGCAAGUCAGAUGUGAAAUGCCGGGCUCAACCCCGGAGCUGCAUUUGAAACUGUCGUUCUUGAGUGAGGUAGAGGUAAGCGGAAUUCCUAGUGUAGCGGGGAAAUGCGUAGAUAUUAGGAGGAACAUCGGUGGCGAAGGCGGCUUACUGGGCCUGUACUGACGCUGAGGCACGAAAGCGUGGGGAGCAAACAGGAUUAGAUACCCUGGUAGUCCACGCUGUAAACGAUGAUGACUAGGUGUGGGGGGACUGAACCCUUCCGUGCCGCAGUAAACACAAUAAGUCAUCCACCUGGGGAGUACGGCCGCAAGGUUGAAACUCAAAUGAAUUGACGGGG
rnacentral:rRNA from 1 species